UUGAGCCGUGUGCGUUGAAAGAUGCAUGCACGGUUCUUAGGGGGGGAAAGCCGGUAACCGUACCUAUCCCAAU
rfam:Pilayella littoralis complete mitochondrial genome